GACGUAGGAGGCGAGCGUUGUUCGGCAUUACUGGGCGUAAAGCGCACGUAGGCGGACAUUUAAGUCAGAGGUGAAAGCCCAGGGCUCAACCCUGGAAUUGCCUUUGAUACUGGCUGUCUUGAGUGCGGGAGAGGUGUGUGGAACUCCGAGUGUAGAGGUGAAAUUCGUAGAUAUUCGGAAGAACACCAGUGGCGAAGGCGACACACUGGCCCGUAACUGACGCUGAGGCGCGAAAGCGUGGGGAGCAAACAGG
rnacentral:rRNA from 1 species